rnacentral:rRNA from 1 species
UACGUAGGUGGCAAGCGUUGUCCGGAUUUAUUGGGCGUAAAGCGCGCGCAGGCGGUUCUUUAAGUCUGAUGUGAAAUCUUGCGGCUUAACCGCAAGCGGUCAUUGGAAACUGGGGAACUUGAGUACAGAAGAGGAAAGUGGAAUUCCACGUGUAGCGGUGAAAUGCGUAGAGAUGUGGAGGAACACCAGUGGCGAAGGCGAACUUUCUGGUCUGUAACUGACGCUGAGGCGCGAAAGCGUGGGGAGCAAACAAGG